UACGUAGGGGGCAAGCGUUGUCCGGAAUCAUUGGGCGUAAAGCGCGCGUAGGCGGCCCGGUAAGUCCGUUGUGAAAGUCAAAGGCUCAACCUUUGAAUGCCGAUGGAUACUGUCGGGCUAGAGUCCGGAAGAGGCGAGUGGAAUUCCUGGUGUAGCGGUGGAAUGCGCAGAUAUCAGGAGGAACACCAAUAGCGAAGGCAGCUCGCUGGGACGGUACUGACGCUAAGGCGCGAAAGCGUGGGGAGCGAACAGG
rnacentral:rRNA from 1 species